rnacentral:rRNA from 1 species
ACCAGACUCCUACGGGAGGCAGCAGUGAGGAAUAUUGGUCAAUGGCCGAGAGGCUGAACCAGCCAAGUCGCGUGAGGGAAGAAUGUCCUAAGGAUUGUAAACCUCUUUUGUCGGGGAGCAAAAAGGCUCUGCGGAGUCGUAUUGAGAGUACCCGAAGAAAAAGCAUCGGCUAACUCCGUGCCAGCAGCCGCGGUAAUACGGAGGAUGCGAGCGUUAUCCGGAUUUAUUGGGUUUAAAGGGUGCGCAGGCGGCGUGUCAAGCAAGGGGUAAAAUGGCGGGGCUCAACCUCGCUCCGCCGUUGAAACUGGCGUUCUUGAGUGGGCGAGAAGUAUGCGGAAUGCGUGGUGUAGCGGUGAAAUGCAUAGAUAUCACGCAGAACCCCGAUUGCGAAGGCAGCAUACCGGCGCCCUACUGACGCUGAGGCACGAAAGUGCGGGUAUCGAACAGGAUUAGAUACCCGAGUA